UACGUAGGGUGCAAGCGUUGUCCGGAAUUAUUGGGCGUAAAGAGCUCGUAGGCGGUCUGUCGCGUCUGCUGUGAAAACUCGGGGCUUAACCCCGGGCCUGCAGUGGGUACGGGCAGACUAGAGUGCGGUAGGGGAGACUGGAAUUCCUGGUGUAGCGGUGAAAUGCGCAGAUAUCAGGAGGAACACCAGUGGCGAAGGCGACUUUCUGGCCUGUUCUUGACGCUGAGGCGCGAAAGCUAGGGGAGCAAACGGG
rnacentral:rRNA from 1 species